AUUGAACGCUGGCGGCAGGCUUAACACAUGCAAGUCGAGCGGAGAUGAGGUGCUUGCACCUUAUCUUAGCGGCGGACGGGUGAGUAAUGCUUAGGAAUCUGCCUAUUAGUGGGGGACAACAUUCCGAAAGGAAUGCUAAUACCGCAUACGCCCUACGGGGGAAAGCAGGGGAUCUUCGGACCUUGCGCUAAUAGAUGAGCCUAAGUCGGAUUAGCUAGUUGGUGGGGUAAAGGCCUACCAAGGCGACGAUCUGUAGCGGGUCUGAGAGGAUGAUCCGCCACACUGGGACUGAGACACGGCCCAGACUCCUACGGGAGGCAGCAGUGGGGAAUAUUGGACAAUGGGCGGAAGCCUGAUCCAGCCAUGCCGCGUGUGUGAAGAAGGCCUUUUGGUUGUAAAGCACUUUAAGCGAGGAGGAGGCUACUUAGAUUAAUACUCUAGGAUAGUGGACGUUACUCGCAGAAUAAGCACCGGCUAACUCUGUGCCAGCAGCCGCGGUAAUACAGAGGGUGCGAGCGUUAAUCGGAUUUACUGGGCGUAAAGCGUGCGUAGGCGGCUGAUUAAGUCGGAUGUGAAAUCCCUGAGCUUAACUUAGGAAUUGCAUUCGAUACUGGUCAGCUAGAGUAUGGGAGAGGAUGGUAGAAUUCCAGGUGUAGCGGUGAAAUGCGUAGAGAUCUGGAGGAAUACCGAUGGCGAAGGCAGCCAUCUGGCCUAAUACUGACGCUGAGGUACGAAAGCAUGGGGAGCAAACAGGAUUAGAUACCCUGGUAGUCCAUGCCGUAAACGAUGUCUACUAGCCGUUGGGGCCUUUGAGGCUUUAGUGGCGCAGCUAACGCGAUAAGUAGACCGCCUGGGGAGUACGGUCGCAAGACUAAAACUCAAAUGAAUUGACGGGGGCCCGCACAAGCGGUGGAGCAUGUGGUUUAAUUCGAUGCAACGCGAAGAACCUUACCUGGCCUUGACAUAGUAAGAACUUUCCAGAGAUGGAUUGGUGCCUUCGGGAACUUACAUACAGGUGCUGCAUGGCUGUCGUCAGCUCGUGUCGUGAGAUGUUGGGUUAAGUCCCGCAACGAGCGCAACCCUUUUCCUUAUUUGCCAGCGAGUAAUGUCGGGAACUUUAAGGAUACUGCCAGUGACAAACUGGAGGAAGGCGGGGACGACGUCAAGUCAUCAUGGCCCUUACGGCCAGGGCUACACACGUGCUACAAUGGUCGGUACAAAGGGUUGCUACCUAGCGAUAGGAUGCUAAUCUCAAAAAGCCGAUCGUAGUCCGGAUUGGAGUCUGCAACUCGACUCCAUGAAGUCGGAAUCGCUAGUAAUCGCGGAUCAGAAUGCCGCGGUGAAUACGUUCCCGGGCCUUGUACACACCGCCCGUCACACCAUGGGAGUUUGUUGCACCAGAAGUAGGUAGUCUAACCGCAAGGAGGACGCUUACCACGGUGUGGCCGAUGACUGGGGUG
rnacentral:rRNA from 3 species